rnacentral:rRNA from 1 species
UACGGGAGGCAGCAGUGGGGAAUAUUGCACAAUGGGCGCAAGCCUGAUGCAGCCAUGCCGCGUGUAUGAAGAAGGCCUUCGGGUUGUAAAGUACUUUCAGUCGUGAGGAAGGUGUUAAGGUUAAUAACCUUAGCAAUUGACGUUAGCGACAGAAGAAGCACCGGCUAACUCCGUGCCAGCAGCCGCGGUAAUACGGAGGGUGCGAGCGUUAAUCGGAAUUACUGGGCGUAAAGGGCACGCAGGCGGUUAAUUAAGUUGGAUGUGAAAUCCCCGGGCUUAACCUGGGAAUGGCAUUCAAGCUGGUUAGCUAGAGUCUUGUAGAGGGGGUAGAAUUCCAUGUGUAGCGGUGAAAUGCGUAGAGAUGUGGAGGAAUACCGGUGGGCGAAGGCGGCCCCUGGGACAAAGACUGACGCUCAUGUGCGAAAGCGUGGGGAGCAAACGAGGGAUUAGAUACC